CUAACAGAGGAAUGAUUUGACUGAUUGCAACCUCUAAAAAAAAUUGCUAAAGCAGUAUUU
rnacentral:ncRNA from 1 species